AUGGCGAAGACAUGCCUGCCAGUGGCUGCGGCUGCCGUGCUUCUGCUCCUGAUGGUGGCGACGGCCCAGGGCAUCAGGCUGGACGCAGGGAGCAAGGCGGCGCUCGGCAACCCGGUGCUCAAUAAAUCCGUGGAGAAAGGGGUGGUGAUCAAGGCUGAUGAUGCUGAGCAGUCAUCGGGUGAAGGGGUAGAGGAGGCCAUAUCUGAAGACAAAGAGAGGGCAGGGGGGCACAGGAUGCCUGAGAUCCAUGUGGACUACUAUGGCCCCAGGGGCCAUAGCGCCAGGCACCACUGA
rnacentral:rRNA from 1 species